CAUGCAAGUAGAACGCUGAAGAGAGGAGCUUGCUCUUCUUGGAUGAGUUGCGAACGGGUGAGUAACGCGUAGGUAACCUGCCUUGUAGCGGGGGAUAACUAUUGGAAACGAUAGCUAAUACCGCAUAACAAUGGAUGACACAUGUCAUUUAUUUGAAAGGGGCAAUUGCUCCACUACAAGAUGGACCUGCGUUGUAUUAGCUAGUAGGUGAGGUAACGGCUCACCUAGGCGACGAUACAUAGCCGACCUGAGAGGGUGAUCGGCCACACUGGGACUGAGACACGGCCCAGACUCCUACGGGAGGCAGCAGUAGGGAAUCUUCGGCAAUGGGGGCAACCCUGACCGAGCAACGCCGCGUGAGUGAAGAAGGUUUUCGGAUCGUAAAGCUCUGUUGUAAGUCAAGAACGAGUGUGAGAGUGGAAAGUUCACACUGUGACGGUAGCUUACCAGAAAGGGACGGCUAACUACGUGCCAGCAGCCGCGGUAAUACGUAGGUCCCGAGCGUUGUCCGGAUUUAUUGGGCGUAAAGCGAGCGCAGGCGGUUUGAUAAGUCUGAAGUUAAAGGCUGUGGCUCAACCAUAGUUCGCUUUGGAAACUGUCAAACUUGAGUGCAGAAGGGGAGAGUGGAAUUCCAUGUGUAGCGGUGAAAUGCGUAGAUAUAUGGAGGAACACCGGUGGCGAAAGCGGCUCUCUGGUCUGUAACUGACGCUGAGGCUCGAAAGCGUGGGGAGCGAACAGGAUUAGAUACCCUGGUAGUCCACGCCGUAAACGAUGAGUGCUAGGUGUUGGAUCCUUUCCGGGAUUCAGUGCCGCAGCUAACGCAUUAAGCACUCCGCCUGGGGAGUACGACCGCAAGGUUGAAACUCAAAGGAAUUGACGGGGGCCCGCACAAGCGGUGGAGCAUGUGGUUUAAUUCGAAGCAACGCGAAGAACCUUACCAGGUCUUGACAUCCCGAUGCUAUUUCUAGAGAUAGAAAGUUACUUCGGUACAUCGGUGACAGGUGGUGCAUGGUUGUCGUCAGCUCGUGUCGUGAGAUGUUGGGUUAAGUCCCGCAACGAGCGCAACCCCUAUUGUUAGUUGCCAUCAUUCAGUUGGGCACUCUAGCGAGACUGCCGGUAAUAAACCGGAGGAAGGUGGGGAUGACGUCAAAUCAUCAUGCCCCUUAUGACCUGGGCUACACACGUGCUACAAUGGUUGGUACAACGAGUUGCGAGUCGGUGACGGCAAGCUAAUCUCUUAAAGCCAAUCUCAGUUCGGAUUGUAGGCUGCAACUCGCCUACAUGAAGUCGGAAUCGCUAGUAAUCGCGGAUCAGCACGCCGCGGUGAAUACGUUCCCGGGCCUUGUACACACCGCCCGUCACACCACGAGAGUUUGUAACACCCGAAGUCGGUGAGGUAACCUUUGGAGCCAGCCGCCUAAAGUGA
rnacentral:rRNA from 1 species